AUGCUUUAUUUCAUUCGUACAAAGUUUGUCCAAAAUACCUUGCUAAUGCACCUAUGCCAGUCCAUAAAACCUAUUAUAAACCUGUUGUGCUUGAUAUCCAAAAACAUGUACAAAACAAAACAAAAUAACCAUGUAAUAUACCGAACAUAUCAGUCCAAAAUUUGUGCCAAAAACCUGUCAAAACAGUCCUGCUGCCCUAUUACUAUGUUGUUGUCCAAAAUUGUCAAACCUGCCAUUACUGCCACAUACAGCCAAAACCAAUC